GCUGGGAUAGCCAAGUCAGGUCAACGGCGAUAGACUCAAGAUCUAUUCUCGCAGGAGUUCACCGGUUCGAAUCCGGUUCCCAGCA
rnacentral:tRNA from 1 species